GUUAGGAUGCUGUUAGGUUGCUGAUAGGAUGCUGUUAGGUUGCUGUUAGGGUGCUAUUAGAAUGCUGUUAGGAUGCUGUUAGGUUGCUGUUAGGGUGCUUUUAGAAUGCUGUUAGGCUGCUGUUAGGCUGCUGUUAUGAUGCUGUUAGGAUGCUGUUAGGCUGCUGUUAGGUUGCUGUUAGGUUGCUAUUAGAAUGCUGUUAGGAUGCUGUUAGGAUGCUGUUAGGAUAUUGUUAGGAUGCUGUUAGGUUGCUGUUCGGGUGCUGUUAGCUUGCUGUUUGCUUGCUGUUAGGCUGUUGUUAGGCUGCUGUUAGGUUGCUGUUUGGUUGCUGUUACGAUGCUGUUAGGCUGCUGUUAUGCUGCUGUUAUGCUGCUGUUACGAUGCUGUUAGGAUGCUUUUAGGUUGCUGUUAGGCUGCUCGUAGUUGGCUCGUAAGCGGCUGUUAGAUUGCUGUUAGGUUGCUGUUAGACUUCUGUUAGGAUGCUGUUAGGCUGCUGUUGGGAUGCUAUUUGUCUGUUGUUAGGAUGCUUUUAGGAUGCUGUUAGGAUGCUGUUAACAUGCAAUUAGGCUGCUGCUAGGUUGCUGUUAGGCUGUUGUUAGGUUGCUGUUAGGUUGGUGUUCAGAUGCUGUUAGGCUGCUGUUAGGCUGCUGUUAUGCUCCUGUUUGGAUGCUGUUAACACGCUGUUAGGAUGCUGUUAGGUUGCUGUAAGGAUGCUGUUAGGCUACUUUUUGUAUGCUGUUAUAAUGCUAUUAGGUAUCUGUUAGGAUGCUAAUAGGUUGCUGUUAGGCUGCUCGUAGUUGGCGGGGAGGCGGCUGUUAGGUUGCUGUUAGGAUGCUGUUAGGCCGCUGUUUGGCUGCUGUUUGGCUGCUGUUAGGAUGCUGUUAGGAUGCUUUUUGUCUGUUGUUUGGCUUCUGUUAGUAUGCUGUUAGGAUGCUGUUAGGCUGCUGUUAAGCUGCUGUUAGGUUGCUGUUAGGCUGCUGUUAGGUUGCCUUUAGGUUGCUGUUAGGCUGUUGUUAGGCUGCUGUUAGGUUACUGUUAGGAUGCUGUUCAGAUGCUGUUAGGCUGCUGUUAGGCUGCUGUUAGGAUGCUGUUAGGUUGCUGUUAGGCUGCUGUUAGGCUGCUGUUCGGAUGCUGUUAGGAUGCUGUUAUGCCUGCUGUUAGGAUGCUGUUGGGCUGCUGUUAGGUUGCUGAUAUGAUGCUGUUAGGUUGCUGUUAGGCUGCUCGUAGUUGGCGGCUAGGCUGCUGUUAGGAUGAUGUUAGGCUGAUGUUAGGAUGCUGUUAGACUUCUGUUAGGAUGCUGUUAGGCUGCUGUUAGUCUGCUGUUUGGUUGCUGUUAGGAUGCCGUUUGUCUGUUGUUAGGAUGCUGUUAGAAUGCUUUUAGGCUGUUAAGUUGCUGUUAAGAUGCAAUUAGGAAGCUUUUUAGCUGCUGUUAGGAUGCUGUUAAGAUGCUGUUUGGCUGUUGUUUGGCUUCUGUUAGGAUGCUGUUAAGAUGCUGUUUGUCUGUUGUUUGGCUUCUGUUAGGAUGCUGUUAGGAUGCUGUUAGGCUGCUGUUAAGCUGCUGUUAGGUUGCUGUUAGGCUGCUGUUAGGUUGCUGUUAGGUUGCUAUUAGGCUGCUGUUUGGCUGCUGUUAGGAUGCUGUUAAGAUGCUCUUUGGCUGUUGUUUGGCUUCUGUUAGGAUGCUGUUAGGCUGCUGUUUGGUUGCUGUUAGGAUGCUGUUUGUCUGUUGUUAGGAUGCUGUUAGAAUGCUGUUAGGCUGUUAGGUUGCUGUUAAGAUGCAAUUAGGAUGUUUUUUAGCUGCUGUUAGGCUGCUGUUAGGUUGCUUUUAGGAUGCUGUUAAAAUGCAAUUAGGCUGUGGUUAGGUUGCUGUUAGGCUGCUGUUAGGCUGUUAGGAUGUGGUUAGGUUGCUGUUAGGAUGCUAUUCAGAUGCUGUUAGCCUGCUGUUAGGAUGCUGUUAGGCACAUUUUAGGAUGCUGUUAGGCUGCUGUUAGGAUGCUGUUAGGAUGCUGUUAGGCUGCUGUUAGGAUGCUGUUAGGAUGCUGUUAGGUUGCUGUUAGGAUGCUGUUAGGUUGCUGUUAGGCUGCUGUUAGGC
rnacentral:lncRNA from 1 species